rnacentral:rRNA from 1 species
AGCAGUCGCCGCGGUAAUACAGAGGAUGCAAGCAUUAUCCGGAAUGAUUGGGCGUAAAGCAUCUAUAGGUGGCUAGAAAAGUUAGAAGUCAAAGGCUAUAGCUCAACUAUAGUAAGCUUCUAAAACUAUUUAGCUUGAGAAAUGGAAGGGAAAGUGGAAUUCCCAGUGUAGCGGUGGAAUGCGCAGAUAUUAGGAAGAACACCAGUGGCAAAGGCGACUUUCUGGACGAAAACUGACGCUGAGGCGCGAAAGCCAGGGGAGCGAACGGGAUUAGAUACCCGUGUAGUCCCUGUCUCUUAUACA